AUGCGGCGCAACCUCGCGGCGAUAGUGCUCGUCGUGCUUGCCUGCCUCGUCUCUCUAGCCUCGGCCGAGCAGAUCAAGACGACGAACACGCGGUGGAGCUACCGCCUCCCGCUGCCCGACGGCGUCAGCGGCACUGAGAGCCUCGCCUUCUCCGGCAAGGACGGGGUCUACACGGGCGUCUCCGAUGGCCGCGUGCUAAAGUGGGGUGGCAGCGCCGCCGGCUGGAGCACCUUCGCGUACAAUGCCAACUACAGGUCGGUGUAA
rnacentral:rRNA from 1 species